GUUAGAUGAUUCUGGCAAAAGAGAAAGAAUUCGCAAAUAACUUAAUUCGCGUUCUUUUUGACGUUGCUCUUCAGUAAUCUGUUCAAGGAAAAUCGGUCCGGUAUAGUUCAUCAAACAGCAUCCGAGCGGUGCCAGGAAAAAACUUAAUAACGAACGAUAGCCUACCAGUAGCGAAAACGAUCGAAAAACAAAUCACGAACAGGGCAAUAACAUGUACAGCGUCGAUGCAAGCAGCAGUGCAGAGAAUUGUGUCUAGUCUUUUAGCUUCUCCAUAACCUUGUUCGACUAAAGCUAGGAGAGUGCUCAUGAUCACCACUGGCGAUAUACCACUAAGUAUUGUUCUUUGUGCCAAUAUAAAUGAAAAAAUUAUAAUAGGAGGAUAAUAAGAGAAGAAAAAACAAUAGGAAAAAAAUUAUGGCGUAUAUAUAGUACAUUUACUUUCGACUGGUCACUCACCCAGUCAUAAAGGACCAGUCCCAAUGAAAUAAUAAAAUGAAUCUGCAAUAUACUGUGAUCAUAAGUAUUUCGAUUGAAGAAGGAACAAUGGCCAAAAUUAUUAUGAACAUUGUAUUCUUGGUUAUACUGGUGAACGAUAACUGAAGUCCAAAACGUAUCAUGAUAAAAGUUACACAAAAUGUUCUGAUCUUAGUGGUUGUUCUGAUACCAAGUUCUUCGCGAAUAUUGUAGAGUCCGGAGUUACGAACGAUUAAGCCAGCGAUUAACAUUCCAAGCAUGGGUGGAAGUUUUACAUAUGGAAUAAUCGAAAAAAAAUUGCCAAGACAAUAAGAAAAUAUUGCAAGAAAAUAUAAACCAAAACCAUCAUUGUUUGGUAUCAUCGUUUUGUCAAAUAAAAAAUACAACACUGCCCAAGCCAUUAUUAUUAUGCCUAAGUAAGUCGUUAUGUCAAACAAAUUUGACCAAGUCACACGAUCGAAUCCAAAAUACUGUAUAACCGGUUUCGUUAUAAGCAUGUUUCGUAUCACGGGAUGAAAUAUAGUUAUUCGAUGACAACACGUGAUAUCUUCAUAUUCUUCAUCCAUUUUUCUUAAUUUUUAAUUUUUUUUUAUUUUGUUUUUAUCACACUUUGAUUGAUCAAGAUUUUUCUUUUUUCUAUUCAAUCGUUCCAAGUUGAUAUUCGUUACUCUCUACAAGGCGUAACUGAUUUUGUUAUCGAGGUUAUGUCUCUCUUCGAUUGUUUCCUUCGACUUCGAAGUAUUGAUCGAUACUCCAAUCGAAGAAUAUUCAUAAUCGAUUUAUCAUUGAAUUUUCAAAAUUAUGUAUGCAAAAAUAUUAUAUAAGUAUUAUAUAAGUAUAUGUACAAAUAGAUUUUAAAAUAUAUACAAUACAAUAUAUAUAAUUUAA